rnacentral:rRNA from 1 species
UAUGGAUCUCAAAUUAAGUAAGACUACCCGCUGAAUUUAAGCAUAUAAUUAAGCGGAGGAAAAGAAGCUAACAAGGAUUCCCCUAGUAACGGCGAGUGAAGCGGGAUGAGCUCACCAUGUGAAUCUGCGCAACCAGCAAUGGUGCGCCGAAUUGUGGUCUGAAGAAGUAUCGUCGACCGCGUACCCGGGCCAAGUCUCUUGGAAAAGGGCAGCUGAGAGGGUGAAACUCCCGUUCUUGCCUGGGAACGUUGUGUCAUAGCAUGAUCUUUCUAUGAGUCGAGUUGCUUGGGAUUGCAGCUCAAAUUUGGUGGUAAAUUCCAUCUAAAGCUAAAUAUUGGUGGGACACCGAUAGUGUACAAGUACCGUGAGGGAAAGAUGCAAAGAACUUUGAAAAGAGAGUUAAAGAGUACCUGAAAUUGUUAAAAGGGAAGCGAAGGAAUCCAGUGUAAAGCGAAGCCAUUCUUCUCAAGCCACUUGUGGUUUGGGCGCUGUGGUUAGCUGUACUAAUUCUGGGCUUGACCUGGGACAAACGUUUAGUAAGUAGACGACUCCUCGGAGUGAGUGCUUGCUCUUCAUGUUCUGGGUCGGGCUGAGGUCAGUCACUCUGUGCUCGUGAUGAAUUAGGAAAUGGAUUUCUUUACCCCGUCUUGAAACACGGACCAAGGAGUCUAA